rnacentral:rRNA from 2 species
UGCUGGAGGUAUCAGAAGUGCGAAUGCUGACAUAAGUAACGAUAAAGCGGGUGAAAAGCCCGCUCGCCGGAAGACCAAGGGUUCCUGUCCAACGUUAAUCGGGGCAGGGUGAGUCGACCCCUAAGGCGAGGCCGAAAGGCGUAGUCGAUGGGAAACAGGUUAAUAUUCCUGUACUUGGUGUUACUGCGAAGGGGGGACGGAGAAGGCUAUGUUAGCCGGGCGACGGUUGUCCCGGUUUAAGCAUGUAGGCUGGUUGUCCAGGCAAAUCCGGAUAAUCAAGGCUGAGGUGUGAUGACGAGGCACUACGGUGCUGAAGUAACAAAUGCCCUGCUUCCAGGAAAAGCCUCUAAGCAUCAGGUAACAUCAAAUCGUACCCCAAACCGACACAGGUGGUCAGGUAGAGAAUACCAAGGCGCUUGAGAGAACUCGGGUGAAGGAACUAGGCAAAAUGGUGCCGUAACUUCGGGAGAAGGCACGCUGGUGUGUAGGUGAAGUCCCUGCGGAUGGAGCUGAGACCAGUCGAAGAUACCAGCUGGCUGCAACUGUUUAUUAAAAACACAGCACUGUGCAAACACGAAAGUGGACGUAUACGGUGUGACGCCUGCCCGGUGCCGGAAGGUUAAUUGAUGGGGUUAUCCGUAAGGAGAAGCUCUUGAUCGAAGCCCCGGUAAACGGCGGCCGUAACUAUAACGGUCCUAAGGUAGCGAAAUUCCUUGUCGGGUAAGUUCCGACCUGCACGAAUGGCGUAAUGAUGGCCAGGCUGUCUCCACCCGAGACUCAGUGAAAUUGAACUCGCUGUGAAGAUGCAGUGUACCCGCGGCAAGACGGAAAGACCCCGUGAACCUUUACUAUAGCUUGACACUGAACAUUGAGCCUUGAUGUGUAGGAUAGGUGGGAGGCUUUGAAGCGUGGACGCCAGUCUGCGUGGAGCCAACCUUGAAAUACCACCCUUUAAUGUUUGAUGUUCUAACGUUGGCCCCUUACCGGGGUUGCGGACAGUGUCUGGUGGGUAGUUUGACUGGGGCGGUCUCCUCCCAAAGCGUAACGGAGGAGCACGAAGGUUAGCUAAUCCUGGUCGGACAUCAGGAGGUUAGUGCAAUGGCAUAAGCUAGCUUGACUGCGAGCGUGACGGCGCGAGCAGGUGCGAAAGCAGGUCAUAGUGAUCCGGUGGUUCUGAAUGGAAGGGCCAUCGCUCAACGGAUAAAAGGUACUCCGGGGAUAACAGGCUGAUACCGCCCAAGAGUUCAUAUCGACGGCGGUGUUUGGCACCUCGAUGUCGGCUCAUCACAUCCUGGGGCUGAAGUAGGUCCCAAGGGUAUGGCUGUUCGCCAUUUAAAGUGGUACGCGAGCUGGGUUUAGAACGUCGUGAGACAGUUCGGUCCCUAUCUGCCGUGGGCGCUGGAGAA